rnacentral:rRNA from 1 species
UACGAAGGGGGCUAGCGUUGUUCGGAAUUACUGGGCGUAAAGCGCACGUAGGCGGCUACUCAAGUCAGAGGUGAAAGCCUGGAGCUCAACUCCAGAACUGCCUUUGAAACUAGGUAGCUUGAACACGGGAGAGGUGAGUGGAAUUCCGAGUGUAGAGGUGAAAUUCGUAGAUAUUCGGAAGAACACCAGUGGCGAAGGCGGCUCACUGGACUGGUAUUGACGCUGAGGUGCGAAAGCGUGGGGAGCAAACAGG